rnacentral:rRNA from 1 species
UACAGAGGUCUCAAGCGUUUGUUCGGAUUCAUUGGGCGUAAAGGGUGCGUAGGCGGCUCAGUAAGUCGGGUGUGAAAACUCCAGGCUCAACCUGGAGACGCCACCUGAUACUGCUGUGGCUAGAGUCCGGUAGGGGAGCAUGGAAUUCCUGGUGUAGCGGUGAAAUGCGCAGAUAUCAGGAGGAACACCAGUGGCGAAGGCGGUGCUCUGGGCCGGAACUGACGCUGAGGAGCGAAAGCGUGGGGAGCAAACAGG